rnacentral:rRNA from 1 species
AUAAACGCUGGCGGCGUGCUUCAGGCAUGCAAGUCGAACGGACACUUCGGUGUCAGUGGCGGACGGGUGAGUAACACGUAAGUAACCUGCCUGGAAGUGGGGAAUAACCCGCCGAAAGGCGAGCUAAUACCGCAUGUGAUGGUCUUUCCCUGGAGAGGUCAUUAAAGGCUUAGGUCGCUUCCGGAUGGGCUUGCGGCCGAUUAGCUAGUUGGUGGGGUAACGGCCUACCAAGGCUUCGAUCGGUAGCUGGUCUGAGAGGACGGUCAGCCACACGGGGACUGAGAUACGGCCCCGACUCCUACGGGAGGCAGCAGCUAGGAAUCUUGGGAAUGGGCGAAAGCCUGACCCAGCAACGCCGCGUGGGCGAUGAAGGCCUUCGGGUCGUAAAGCCCUUUUGCGGGGGAAGAUGAUGACGGUACCCCGCGAAUAAGCCACGGCUAACUACGU